AGGUUGGGUAUUUCCUUCAGCCUAUUAAAGGAAUUGGGAACCUGUGGUACCUUCCUUUGAGUGUCACGGGAGUACCAUCUCUUUACCUUGGCAAGAGCAGAUCCUUCAUAUCUGUAGUUGAAUCACACACUCUCAGAUAUCUGAGCUUGAAUUCUACAGGGACACUUAUCUCAGCUUUUGAGUUUUAGGAGAAAUAGCCUGCAGACCAGAGAAUAAGGAAAAGUUGUUUCCUGCCAAAGAACAAGCAGUAUUGUGAAAUAUAAAAUUUUAUUGUUGCGGUGAAAGAAAAUUUCAGUAUCAAAUUUUUGAAAACAGUAAGUAGACCCAUAUUUCCAUUAUAUACCAACCUCACUUUAUUUUUUAUUUGAUUUUGGCCUUAUUUUUAGAAGAGUCCAAAUCAAAUAGUUUCAAAUGCUUUAUGGAAAAUUCAUCCAUUGACAAUGUUCAUAGCAUUUACAUUUGGUUUUAUAACCAUAAUUAAGUCCUAAAUGUUUUGUAAUUAGGAUGAUUCUAAAGCUAAAAACUCAUUAACAAGAAUGACAAUAUUUGAAUAUGUGAACAAUUUUCACAACAGAGCCAAACAAUCUGUUAAGGGAUUCCUUGUUUUCAGAUAUUAAGAUUCUACUACCCCUAAGCCACUACACUCUAAAACUUUCCCAGUUGUUCAAGUUGUUCUAUAAAAGUUGGAUUCACAAAUUAAAUAAAUAUUUCCAAUAGAAUUCCUUGCUCCCAUAUCCACCCAGGGCUUUGAAAAGCUUUAUUUUUUUCUUGUUAAAGGACGGCUUAUAUACCUUUAAUUAGAGCACCAUUUUAUCCCAUUUAUUUACUUAUUAUAUAUUUUUAUUACUUUAUUGCAUUAGAAAAGUUCAAAUUAAAACUACAAUAUAAUAUAGGUACACAUCUAAUAGGAUGGCUGUAAUAAAAAAUUGACAGUAUCAAGUUUUUGGUGGGGAAGUAGAGAAAUUGGAACCCUCAGACAUUGGUGGAGGGAAUGUAAAAUCAUGUAGCCACUUUGGAACAUAAUUCAGUAGGCUUAAAACUUAGAUGAUGGGUUGAUAGGUGCAGCAAACCACCAUGACAUAUGUAUACCUAUGUAAUAAACCUGCACCUUCUGCACAUAUAUCCCAGAAUGUAAAGUAAAAUUUAAAAAAAUACAUUUGACAGAUGACUCAGUAAUUUCACUCCCAGAUAUUUGCCCAGAGAAUUGAAAAUUUGUGUGCACACACACACACACACACAUACCUCCUUAAAAUGUUUUAGUAGCUUUGCUCUUCAUUAACAAAAGUGGAAAACAACCACAAGAUUCUUCCACAGGUAAAUAGAUAAACUAUGUUAAAUAUAUAAAAUGGAAUACUAUUCAGCAAUAAAAAGGAACAGACUGCUACUGUUAUGGUAUAUGUGCUAUUUGGUACAUAUAUUAUGGUACACAUUAACCUCAAAAAUGUCAGGCUAAGUAGAAGAAGCCAGAUAUAAAUUGUCUUGUAUGGGAUAAAAUUUCAAGUUCUGGCUUCAUGUCCUUGAUGCUCCUAAGUCCUCAGAGGCCUAAUGGUAAGUCUCCUGCUCUUGCUAGAAAUGUCCCCAUUCAAAGGGAAAGGGUCCCUAUACAGCUAGUUCCUGUAUCAGCCAGACCAACUACACUCCACCUGGUCCUCAACCUAACAGUUUCACUUCCCUUACAGCCAAAAAGUUAGUCAAACAAAUUAGUCACACCUUCAAUGGGAAUCAGGGAACAUCUUACCCACCUGUUACUAGAAAGCCUGCCUCCCAGAGCCCCUACUGAUUUACUGUGCUCCAGAGUGCAUCUCUGCAUGGCCCAGUGUCCCCCUUCUCUAGUCUGUGAGUAUAUGUAACUAAUAACCUGCAGUCUGUCUCAUCUGUGCGGUAUCAGGUGGUGUGUGUUCAGCUAUUUUAUACUAUUUGAGGUGAGGGACCCCUCCUUCACCAACCAAAUUAGUAGUGGAGGUGAUCAGAACACAGAUGAUCCCAGUUGUUACCAGGGACUGGGAAAUUGAAGGAAGCAUUGAUUGGUAACAUGUACAAAGAAACUCUUUUGGUGACAGAAAUGUUUUAUAACAGGAUUGUGUGAUAGCUUACAACUCUAUAAAUUUACCAAAUAUUUAAUUACAAACAUUCUAAAUGGUGUAUCUUAUGGAAUGAAAAUUUACCUCAAUCAACUGUUAUACAAAAAAUAACUAAAUAAAA